UCCGUAGGUGAACCUGCGGAAGGAUCAUUACCGAGUUGAUUCGAGCUCCGGCUCGACUCUCCCACCCUUUGUGUACCUACCUCUGUUGCUUUGGCGGGCCCGCGGUCGGCCUCGUGCCGUCCAGCACCCGCCAGAGGACCACAAAACUCCAGUCAGUAAACGUCUCAGUCUGAAAAACAAGUUAAUAAACUAAAACUUUCAACAACGGAUCUCUUGGUUCUGGCAUCGAUGAAGAACGCAGCGAAAUGCGAUAAGUAAUGUGAAUUGCAGAAUUCAGUGAAUCAUCGAAUCUUUGAACGCACAUUGCGCCCCUUGGUAUUCCGGGGGGCAUGCCUGUUCGAGCGUCAUUUCAACCCUCAAGCUCUGCUUGGUAUUGGGCUCCGUCCUCAGGGACGCGCCUCAAAGACCUCGGCGGUGGCGUCUUGCCUCAAGCGUAGUAGAAAACACCUCGCUUUGGAGUGCAUGGCGUCGCCCGCCGGACGAACCUUUGAAUUUUUCUCAAGGUUGACCUCGGAUCAGGUAGGGAUACCCGCUGAACUUAAGCAUAUCAAUAAGCGGAGGA
rnacentral:rRNA from 2 species